rnacentral:misc_RNA from 1 species
UUUCCGUAGGUGAACCUGCGGAAGGAUCAUUAAUGAGUUGUCAUGGGGUUCGAUGCUGGCAGCCAAUUUUUGGAUGCACGUGCUUGCCCUAACAAUCAUCUUCCAAACACCUGUGCACAUUUUUGAGGGAGUCUUGAGUUGGUUGCCGCUCUUGGGUGAUUUUCUCACAUUCCCUUAAAUCAUUAUACGCUAUUAACAAUGUUGAACGUGCUCUGUGCCGCAAGGCUAUUAAUAUAAUACAACUUUUAACAACGGAUCUCUUGGCUCUCGCAUCGAUGAAGAACGCGGC